rnacentral:ncRNA from 2 species
GACGAGGGGUCCUAGCGUUGUUCGGAAUCACUGGGCGUAAAGCGUAUGUAGGCGGGCUUUUAAGUCGGGUGUGAAAUCCCACGGCUCAACCGUGGAAUUGCAUUCGAAACUGGAAGUCUUGAGUGUGGGAGAGAUUGGUAGAAUACCUGGUGUAGUGGUGAAAUACGUAGAUAUCAGGUGGAAUACCGGUGGCGAAGGCGGCCAAUUGGCCCAACACUGACGCUGAGAUACGAAAGCGUGGGGAUCAAACAGG